AUGAUCUACCUGCUUCUCAUCCGUCCUGAGAUGCUAAUGCUCGGCAGCAGAUCGGAUCUCUUCACCAUGGCCAGCAACCAAAUUGGCAAGGACAUGACAGAAGAAAUUCUUGCAGGGGAGAUUCUUAGCAUGCCCCCAUCUUCAGAUAACAUGAUUUCCGACGCACGUAGGCUCGCCCGAGAACUUAUGAUGCUGGAUAGUGAGGAAGAUAGGUGGAUAGUGAUCCAAGGUGUGUGGGUGGAGAUGCUCUGCUAUUCCGCCAGCACGUGCAGGGGCUACCUACACGCCAAGAGCCUGGGUGAUGGCGGGGAGUGUCUCACCACUAUCUGGCUCCUCUUGGCGGUGAUGGGGAUGGAGACCUUGGCGGACAGGAAUCACAGGCCAAAGUUUCAGGAUGAAGAAGAGAAAGUAGAAGAAAUAGAAUUAGAAGAAGCACUUCCCGUCCACAAGAAGGAUGAGAAGAAGAAUCACAUACUUCCUUCCUGUUCCCAAGGCAGAGCCGGUCACCCUGCUCACGACGACCGCCUAGUCUAA
rnacentral:rRNA from 1 species